rnacentral:rRNA from 1 species
UAAGCCAUGCGAGUCGAGAGAAUAAGAUUCUCGGCAUACCGCUCAGUAACACGUGGAUAACCGCCCUGUGCUGGGGGAUAACCUCGCGAAAGUGAGAACAAUACCCCAUGGGUCACUAUGCCUGGAACGGUUAGUGGCUGAAAGCUCCGGCGGCACAGGAUGGGUCUGCGGCGUAUCAGGUCGUAGGGGGUGUAACGUACCCUCUAGCCAUCGACGCGUACGGGUGUUGGGAGACAUAGCCCGGAGAUGGAUUCUGAGACACGAAUCCAGACCCUACGGGGUGCAGCAGGCGCGAAAACUUGGCAAUGCGAGAAAUCGUGACCAGGGAACUCCAAGUGGCUGGGGUAAGACCCAGUCUUUUCUUGACUCUUCAAAGGUCUUGGAAUAAGAGGUGGGUAAGGAUGGUGCCAGCCGCCGCGGUAAUACCGGCGCCUCAAGUGGUAGUCGAUUUUAUUGGGCCUAAAACGUCCGUAGCCUGUUUGGUACAUUCGUGGGUAAAUCAACCAGCUCAACUGGUUGAAUUCUGCGAGCACGGCCAGACUUGGGACCGGGAGAGGUGUGGGGUACGCUCAGGGUAGGGGUAAAAUCCUGUCAUCCUGAGCGGACCACCUGUUGCGAAGGCGCCACACUAGAACGGAUCCGACGGUCAGGGACGAAGCCUAGGGGCACGAACCGGAUUAGAUACCCGGGUAGUCCUAGGUGUAAACGCUGUGGACUUGGUGUUGGGGAUUCUCAGAGGAUUCUCAGUGCCGAAGCGAAGGUGAUAAGUCCACUGCCUGGGGAGUACGUC